GCCCCAAUAGCUCAGUCGGUAGAGCAUCAGACUUUUAAUCUGAGGGUCAUGGGUUCAAGACUCAUAGUGGACG
rnacentral:tRNA from 1 species